rnacentral:rRNA from 1 species
AGGACGAACGCUGGCGGCGUGCUUAACACAUGCAAGUCGAGCGGUGAUCCUCCUUCGGGAGGUGAUCAGCGGCGAACGGGUGAGUAACACGUGGGCAACCUGCCCCUCACACUGGGAUAACCUCGGGAAACCGGGGCUAAUACCGGAUACGACCUCGAGCGGCAUCUCUUGAGGUGGAAAGCUCCGACGGUGAGGGAUGGGCCCGCGGCCUAUCAGCUUGUUGGUGGGGUAAUGGCCUACCAAGGCGACGACGGGUAGCCGGCCUGAGAGGGCGACCGGGCCACGACUGGGACUGAGACACGGCCCAGACUCCUACGGGAGGCAGCAGUGGGGAAUAUUGCGCAAUGGGCGAAAGCCUGACGCAGCAACGCCGCGUGGGGGAAGAAGGCUUUCGGGUUGUAAACCCCUUUCAGUUGGGACGAAGCUUCUCCGGUGAAUAGCCGGACGGAGUGACGGUACCUUCACAAGAAGCACCGGCUAACUACGUGCCAGCAGCCGC